rnacentral:rRNA from 1 species
GACGUAGGGCGCGAGCGUUGUCCGGAUUUAUUGGGCGUAAAGAGCUCGUAGGCGGCCUGUUGCGUCUGCUGUGAAAUCCCAGGGCUUAACCCUGGGCCUGCAGUGGAUACGGGCAGGCUGGAGGCAGGCAGGGGAGAACGGAAUUCCCGGUGUAGCGGUGAAAUGCGCAGAUAUCAGGAGGAACACCGGUGGCGAAGGCGGAUCUCUGGGCCAUGACUGACGCUGAGGAGCGAA